rnacentral:rRNA from 1 species
AGCUUGACACUGAACAUUGAGCCUUGAUGUGUAGGAUAGGUGGGAGGCUUUGAAGUGUGGACGCCAGUCUGCAUGGAGCCGACCUUGAAAUACCACCCUUUAAUGUUUGAUGUUCUAACGUGGACCCGUGAUCCGGGUUGCGGACAGUGUCUGGUGGGUAGUUUGACUGGGGCGGUCUCCUCCUAAAGAGUAACGGAGGAGCACGAAGGUUGGCUAAUCCUGGUCGGACAUCAGGAGGUUAGUGCAAUGGCAUAAGCCAGCUUGACUGCGAGCGUGACGGCGCGAGCAGGUGCGAAAGCAGGUCAUAGUGAUCCGGUGGUUCUGAAUGGAAGGGCCAUCGCUCAACGGAUAAAAGGUACUCCGGGGAUAACAGGCUGAUACCGCCCAAGAGUUCAUAUCGACGGCGGUGUUUGGCACCUCGAUGUCGGCUCAUCACAUCCUGGGGCUGAAGUAGGUCCCAAGGGUAUGGCUGUUCGCCAUUUAAAGUGGUACGCGAGCUGGGUUUAGAACGUCGUG